rnacentral:misc_RNA from 1 species
GAUGAAGAACGCAGCGAAAUGCGAUACGUAAUGUGAAUUGCAGAAUUCAGUGAAUCAUCGAGUCUUUGAACGCACAUUGCGCCCCCUGGUAUUCCGGGGGGCAUGCCUGUCCGAGCGUCAUUGCUGCCCUCAAGCACGGCUUAUGUGUUGGGCCUCCGUCCUCCUCCCGGGGGACGGGCCCGAAAGGCAGCGGCGGCACCGCGUCCGGUCCUCGAGCGUAUGGGGCUUCGUCACCCGCUCUUGUAGGCCCGGCCGGCGCUUGCCGACACAUCAAUCUUUUUUCCAGGUUGACCUCGGAUCAGGUAGGGAUACCCGCUGAACUUAAGCAUAUCAAUAAGCGGAGGA